AUUACCACUGUAAUAUUAGGGUUAGACAAAGACAGAGAGCAUCCCUGUCCUCCCUACCCUCUCGUACUGCCAUAGCCGGGAUUCUGAGUGUUGCCGCUUCCUUGUCCUUGCCCGUAGCCACAGUAGAACCCAUUGUUGCCUUUGUUCCCUCCAUUUCCUUUGCCUUUGCCUCUGUUCUUCCCUUUUCCACCAUAGCCAUUCGUCAUCCCUUCCGUGACUGUCAGUGUAGUGCACUUCAGCAGGAGGUGAUCCAAGGAUUCCAAAGAGAGGAGUCGAAGCCAACUGCUGUGAUUGCUCGUGAGUAGCAACAUAUGAUCGCCAUUCUUCAUGUCCCAUAAGCAGUGAGGUCAUGCCAUUGUUGUUCCAGAAGAUCUUCUUGGGCUGCCGUCUGACUAAGAAAGGUCAUUUCCAAAGAAUGCCAGGCCUCAUGGGACGUCUUGACAGAAAGGAUGGUGAACCCAAUUUCCUCGAUCACUACUAGCAUAAUACAGGAAUGGCUUUUGGAACAGGAAGUGCACUGGCCAAAGGGCUGUUGAUGCUGUGAUGGGUCCUUGCACAAUUCAGCAUGAAGCUGUUGUCUGUAAGGUGGCUGCUUCCCCGGCAGUUGCACCCACAUCAAGCAGCAUUAGCAGUACUAAUGCUUCCGCUAUCCAUUCAAAGGCCUUCCAACAUGUGUGGAGACUUUCCUCAAUUUUCUGUCCAACUCAAGGAAGAGGAAUGAUAUUGUUGCUACUAAAAAAUUUUGAAUAUUUUGAGUUGCAUGUCUUAGUGCUUAGAUAGAAAUCUGAUAGAAGUAAUUGGUACAAUUUGUUUGUAUUUUCUUGUGCAUAUGGCUUUCAUCAUAUUUUCAAAUUCUUAUCUUCUAUUGCUAUAACUUUAACUAUCCUUCUGAAAUGCAAUUGUUAGGGCUGGGUGGGGGUUUUCUUUCCUUGGUUUUCAUUCUAUACGGUUGCUUCUUACAGGUGAACUCUUUUCUAAGUAGAAGAGUUCUUAUUUUCGAAGCAUAUAUAGAUUGCUCUUAACGUUCUUUGUGGUUUACUACCAUUAAAAAAAAAAAAAUUCUUUGUGGUAACUUUUAUGCC